AAAUACAGGCGACUAAGAGAGCCAUCUGUUGACAGUCAUUAAUGAUUACUGUCAUGGAGUUGCUCUCUUCAGGUGACUGUAU
rfam:Dracunculus medinensis genome assembly, scaffold: DME_contig0000224